rnacentral:rRNA from 1 species
CAGCAGCCGCGGGAAUACGGAGGAUCCAAGCGUUAUCCGGAAUCAUUGGGUUUAAAGGGUCCGUAGGCGGUCUUGUAAGUCAGUGGUGAAAGCCAAUCGCUCAACGGUGGAACGGCCAUUGAUACUGCAGGACUUGAAUUAUUGGGAAGUAACUAGAAUAUGUAGUGUAGCGGUGAAAUGCUUAGAGAUUACAUGGGAUACCAAUUGCGAAGGCAGGUUACUACCAAUUGAUUGACGCUGAUGGACGAAAGCGUGGGUAGCGAACAGGAUUAGAGACCCCUGUAGUCCCUGUCUCUUAUAC